rnacentral:rRNA from 1 species
GAUGAACGCUAGCUACAGGCUUAACACAUGCAAGUCGAGGGGAAACGAUAUUGGAAGCUUGCUUCCGAUAGGCGUCGACCGGCGCACGGGUGAGUAACGCGUAUCCAACCUGCCCGUCACUUGGGAAUAGCCUUGCGAAAGUAAGAUUAAUGCCCUAUGUGGUGUUUUGAGGACAUCUGAAGAGCACCAAAGGUUUACCGCUUAACGAUGGGGAUGCGUCUGAUUAGGUUGUUGGCGGGGCAACGGCCCACCAAGGCGACGAUGCGUAGGGGUUCUGAGAGGAAGGUCCCCCACACUGGUACUGAGACACGGACCAGACUCCUACGGGAGGCAGCAGUGAGGAAUAUUGGUCAAUGGGCGCAGGCCUGAACCAGCCAAGUCGCGUGAGGGAUGACGGUCCUACGGAUUGUAAAACCCUCUUUUGUCGGGGAGUAACGUGCGGGACGCGUCCCGUAUUGAGAGUACCCGAAGAAAAAGCAUCGGCUAACUCCGUG